UCUCCGGGAUACUGGUGUACACAGCGGCAGCGUUGCGGCCCACAGCCAGGCGGCUGAGGAACCGUCACCGACCCGCCUCAGGGUGUUGCGUGCGCUGCCCGCUCCCGCCUGAGGAAAACUGGGCCCAUGGCGCAAGGCCGGGAGCGCGACGAAGGCCCCCACUCCGCCGGCGGCUCGUCCCUAUCCGUGAGAUGGGUGCAAGGAUUCCCUAAGCAGAAUGUUCAUUUUGUCAACGACAACACCAUUUGCUACCCUUGUGGGAAUUUUGUAAUAUUUAUUAACAUUGAAACAAAGAAAAAGACUGUACUCCAGUGUAGUAAUGGAAUUGUGGGCGUCGUGGCAACUAACAUCCCCUAUGAAGUUGUGGCUUUUUCUGACCGGAAGCUAAAACCCCUCAUCUACAUAUACAGCUUUCCUGGAUUGACCAGAAGGACCAAAUUGAAAGGCAACGUUCUUCUGGACUACACUUUACUUUCAUUCAGUUACUGUGGCACCUACCUGGCUAGUUACUCCUCUCUCCCAGAAUUUGAACUGGCCCUUUGGAACUGGGAAUCAAAUAUCAUUUUGUGCAAGAAAUCACAGCCUGGUAUGGAUGUGAACCAAAUGUCUUUUAACCCCAUGAACUGGCGCCAGCUGUGCUUAUCAAGCCCAAGUACAGUGAGUGUGUGGACCAUUGAAAGAAGUAACCAGGAGCAUUAUUUCAAAGCAAGGUUGGUAAAACUACCUCUAGAAGAUGGGUCAUUUUUUAAUGAAACGGAUGUAGUUUUUCCUCAGUCGUUGCCGAAAGAUCUCAUCUAUGGACCUGUGCUGCCACUGUCAGCCAUCGCUGGGCUAGUAGGUGAAGAGGCAGAGACUUUCCGGCCGAAAGAUGAUCUAUAUCCUUUGCUUCACCCGACUAUGCAUUGCUGGACUCCAACAAGUGACCUGUACAUUGGCUGUGAAGAGGGUCAUCUUUUAGUGAUUAAUGGAGACACCUUGAAGGUGACUGUGCUUAAUAAGAUAGAAGAGGAAUCACCAUUGGACAGAAGAAAUUUUAUCAGUCCAGUAACCUUGGUGUAUCAGAAGGAGGGCGUGCUGGCUUCUGGAAUUGAUGGCUUUGUGUAUUCUUUUAUUAUUAAAGAUGGAAGUUACGUGAUUGAGGAUUUUCUUGAGAUUGAAAGACCUGUAGAACAUAUGAUGUUUUCUCCAAAUUAUACAAUGUUGCUGAUUCAAACAGACAAGGGAUCUGUUUAUAUCUACACUUUGGGUGAGAAACCCAUCUUAAAUAAAGUCCUAGAUGCUUGUGAUGGAAAUUUUCAGGCAAUUGACUUUAUCACACCUGGAACCGAACACUUCAUGACACUUACACAUUCAGGGGAAGUUUGUGUUUGGUGGCUGGAGGAUUGUGCUUGUGUAAGCAAGAUUUAUCUGAAUACCCCAGCAACGGUUCUGGCUUGCUGUCCGUCCUCCUUCUCUGCAGCCGUGGGCACUGAGAGUGGCUCUGUCUACUUCAUCAGCGUCUACAAUGAGGAAUCCCCUCAGGUCAUGCACAAGGCCUUUCUCUCGGAAUCUUCCGUGCAGCAUGUUGUUUAUGAUCAGCGAGGAAUAUUUCUGUUAGUUGGAACAUCAGAAGGAAAAGUCUUUGUUAUCAAUGCCAAAUCCUCAAGCUCAUUUCAGAUUAUUGGAUUCACAGAGGUGGCCAAAGACAUUGUACAGAUAUCCACAGUGUCUCUUUUAGAAACAGACAUAGUGGAAGUGAUGGUGCUUUCCUCACUUCUAGAAGCAGGAAGAAGCAGGUUGGAGAUGUUCAUACUGCCUAUAUUACUGUCACAAGUUUCCACAACCUUUACUGAUGAAAGAGGAAGGCUGAAAGAUGCACUCAUUCAUAAGUACCUGUAUGAGCUGGAGCACACUCUGUCCUCUGCAGUCUUGGACUUUCAAAGUAAACAAAUAUAUGGCUUCUGUAGUCACGUGCCAUACAUCUGUAGCUACCUUCUCCCUAAAGAAGAACAUAUUGAUAUCUACAUUCUUAAACCAUACCAAAAAGUGCAAAGCAGACAGUAUGGACCUGGAAUACUCUAUUUGUCUUCACAUGGAUUGUUGCUCCUAACAAUAGCUAAAUGUGGAAUUCUGUGCAUCCGAGACGUUUAUACUUUGGAAACAUUUGCUCGGUGUCGGAGUCAUUCUCACCAGGGUCAUGGGAUUCAGUCAAUGAGAAUUUCGAUGGAUGGACAAAACAUUCUGGUGAAUGGGAGAGAUGAUGGCACCCUUGUCUACCUAAAGUGGAAGCGGUUUGGAGGACACCUAGCCAAUGACAUUCUGGACUAUUACCAGAAACUAUUAAUUUUCCUAAGCAGCACCAUGGACAAGGAGAACGAUUAUUUAAGCAGAACACCAAGAGUUUCCAUAGAUUUGGCAUCCAAUUCUGAACACACAAAACGGAAGGCAAGCACUGACUCAUCACAAGAUGAAUUAGUUUUAACUGAUGUUAAGAAGGAAAUUCCUUGGAUACAACAAAAAAGCCAAGAGGCCAUCAAAAAAGAGGUUAAUCUGUUUUCCAAGAAAAGGAAAGAGAUAAAAAAAGGAAUCAAAGCACUUUCCAAAACUAUUCUGAAUAUGAUGGAAGAAAAUGACAAACUAGAAAAUAUUGCAAAAUUAGACCAACAGGAAUUUGGCCUGGAUCUUGAGGCACUGGAAAGGCUUCAUGAUGAAAGUCAGGAAGAAGUGGCAAAGAUGAAAAAGGAUGUAGAGAUGCAUAACCUAGCCAAGAGCUAUUUGGCUGAACUUAUCAAAGAAGAGUGUUGGAAUUCAAUGGCUGUAAAAGGUCGAGCUCUUAAGUGUUUUCAUAUCCCCUGUGUGGUUGAAAACUUCCCAAUGAAAGCACGCACAGCUGAAGAGCUGAAAGAAUUGGAAAGAGUUUUACAGCAAAAGAAGAUUGAAGCAGAGUGUCUAAAACUACGGAAGGAAAUUGUAGAGGCUCAGUCUGGAGUUACAUUGGUUAAAAAGCAUCAUGAAGAGGAUGAUGAAGAAGAGGAAGAGGAAGACAAGAAAGCAGAAUAUAGCAACUUGCCCAAUUACCUGCUUGGUAGUCUGAGUACUGAUUUUGGGGUAGACACCUCUUUUUUGUCAAGCCAAUUAGAACUUCAUUCCAGAGAAGAGAAAAUCAACCAAAUUAUAUUACUGAAAGAUAUCAUUUACAAGGUAAAAACUGCUUUCAAUAAUGAGUUUGAUGCUGCAUAUAAACAAAAAGAGUUUGAAAUUGCACGCGUGAAGGAAAGAAAUGUUCGAAUUCGAGAAAUUAUUUUAGAUCUGGAAUUGGAAGAAGCAGUCUGGCAACCAGAGUUUGAAGACUGUGAGAAGCCAGAGAGAACGCUUGUUGUGCAAGAUGAGGAGAUUACAGCCAACAAAUAUGUUAAGCCGUGGCACAAAGCCAAAGCAGAAUUGCUCACGAGUCGUGAAACGGAGCACUGGCUUCUGAUACAGGGCACCAGCACAAGACUCCGAGCUCUGAUGGACAUGAUGGGAGGAGUUCUGGAAGUCAAGAAGGAAGACAUUUUGAGAAUGGUGAUUCCUCAACCUGCUUUCAUGGCAAAACCUGAUGCUGUAUGGACUGAAGAAGAAAGAAAACAAUUCAAAGAUUAUGAGAAAAAAGUAAAGGAGUUAAAUGAAGAAAGAGAUAAGUAUAGAAAGUCAUUAGAAGCAGAAUUGAAGAAACUUCAAAACUCUAUUCAGGAAAGCACACAGGCCUUUGAUGAACAUUUGAAAAGACUUUUUGAAAGGAGAGUGAAGGCAGAGAUGGUUACCAACCAGGAGGAAUUGAAAAUAAAUAAUCUUGCAUUUUCUUUACUGUUGGAUGAAGAAUUAAGCUCCAGAGAAAAAUUUCUGAACAACUACCUUACAAGGAAGCAGCAGGAGAAAAGCCAGACUUCAGAAGCUGUCCGGAAAUCUAGAGAAGACCUGGAUGUGUACAAGGAGCACUAUGACAACUUGCUGGCAGAAGACAAAGUUAUGGAUCGCAGCUUUAAAAAGGAAUUUGCUGAAAUUCCCAGCCAUCAAGUGGACAUUCUCUACAAACUUUUUAAACGCCGACCAAGGAUUCCCAAACAGAAAAUGCACUCAGAUACAACUCGUGUUGUCCCUUUCGGAGAACGACCAGGAUCUGGCAAGUUGAAUAAGGAUGCCUUUGCCCAGUUAAUGAAAGCCAUGGAUGAGUUGGACAAUAUUAGUAACAUGCCAGAAGGCUUGGACCCUUUGGUCUGGAAUCAUUUCUGCAUGACAAGACGAGCAAAACUGGAAAAUGAACAGAAAGUAAAGCAGAAAGCAGCUGGCUUAUUGGAAAUGGCAGCUUUCCUCCGGAAGAGGGUUGAGGAGGAUGAAAAGGUGCAACAGGAGAUUGAGAGAGUGUUCCAUGAACUCAUCCUAUUACAGGAUGAGAAAGUGAGAUUCCAGUUGAAUUUGACAAUCCAAAUUCUUCUUAAACAAGGACAAGUAGAACUGGAAAAUUUCCAGCUAGUACUGGAGUAUGCUGAUGCAAUUCUCAUCAACAAGAACAUAGUUGAAGACUUGAACUCUGUGAUUCGGACUCAAGGACAAAAGAAAAUUGCAAGCAUGAUGGAAAGUAAAGAUGUACACAAAAGAAUAUUUCAGAUUGAGUGGGAACAUAAGAAAAUGGAGAUGGAAAGGGAAGAUCUAAAUCAGAAGGCUUGGGAUAUUCAGAUGCUAUUUUUUUCAAGAGAUCGUCAAAAGUUCCUAAAUGAACCAAACUAUGAGGCUCUGAUUAGUAUUCAGAUUGGAAUAAUGGAACAAACCAUUGCUGUUUUAGAUAAGGAUAACUUACAUUUUUCAAAAUUAAUUUUGUGGGGUAUCAUGGAAACAAAAAUUUCAGACCCACAAAAAGAAUGUGGAAAACUGCAAGAAACUACUCAAAAAACUUGGAAAGUUCAGCAAUCAAAAAGAUAUAGCAAAUUAUAACCUAAGCUGCAAUCUACGAGAAGAGUUGGUAGCUGUCUCAGAGAGAAAAGACAUCUGUAAUGCAAUGGGGUCUAAACUGACUUGUGAAAAGAUUGCCAAAGAACGGUAUGAAAACAUGAUGCAACAGCAGAAGUUAACAAAUAUUUCAAAACAACAAGCUGAACAGAUUUCAAUACUACAGACUGAAGUUCAAAGAUUAAGGAUGAAAACAUUUCCUGCUCUUGUUCAAAUGUAAAAACACUGGCAGGAAAACACAAGACCAAAUCAAUCAUUUAAAAAAUCAUUUCAUUUGGGCAAAAUGAUUUCCUUUUCUUUUUUACUGGCAAAUUGAAGUAGCAUGUCCUCUUAGUUGCAUGUUUUAGAUUAAAAAAAAAAAUGCUUAGUUUUAGCCUUAAUUGUAUACAAAUUUUUGUCCUGCAUGAAUAAAUGUGUAAAAUACCAUGAAUUGUUUUUAUUCAAGAAUAAACAAGACGAGAUCAGAAAGUA